rnacentral:misc_RNA from 1 species
GAUGAAGAACGUAGCAAAAUGCGAUAAGUAAUGUGAAUUGCAGAAUUCAGUGAAUCAUCGAAUCUUUGAACGCACAUUGCGCCCGCCAGUAUUCUGGCGGGCAUGCCUGUUCGAGCGUCAUUUCAACCCUCAAGCACAGCUUGGUGUUGGGACUCGCGUUAAUUCGCGUUCCCCAAAUUGAUUGGCGGUCACGUCGAGCUUCCAUAGCGUAGUAGUAAAACCCUCGUUACUGGUAAUCGUCGCGGCCACGCCGUUAAACCCCAACUUCUGAAUGUUGACCUCGGAUCAGGUAGGAAUACCCGCUGAACUUAAGCAUAUCAAUAAGUGGAGGA